rnacentral:snRNA from 1 species
GUGCUUGCUUCAGUAGCACAUGUGCUAAAAUACUAUGCAACAGAGAAGAUUAGCACAGCUCCUGCACAAGGAUGAAACACAAAGUCAUAGACUGUCCCAUAUUUUG